rnacentral:misc_RNA from 1 species
GGAAAUCGCAAAUCCAUCGCUGGAAAAGGUAACUCUUCAAUCUCCAUUGCUUCUCUUCCAUUUCUUCCUUUCAAAAUUCCCACAAAACCCUAUAGUUGUAUCUAUAUACUAUACGUAUUUUUACAGAUUAUACUCUUCUUCCGUAGAAUCUCUGUAAAACCCUAAAAUGGAGUGGAACCCUGAAACCGCACAAUUUCUCUCCCAAUGCUUCCUUAAUACGCUAUCUCCGUUACCGGAGCCUCGCCGUCGAGCUGAAACAGCACUUUCUGAGGCCUCCGAGAGAUCUAACUAUGGUCUCGCCGUGCUUCAUCUUGUAGCUGAGCCUUCUGUUGACGAGCAGAUCCGUCAAUCUGCUGCUGUUAACUUCAAAAACCAUCUCAAGGCCCGUUGGGCUCCAUCACCUCCUAAAGAACCAAAUCUUCCAGCAUUAAACCCCAUUUCCG